CAGUCGAACGAUGAUGCCCUGCUUGCAGGGUGGAUUAGUGGCGAACGGGUGAGUAACACGUGGGUGAUCUGCCCCGCACUUCGGGAUAAGCCUGGGAAACUGGGUCUAAUACCGGAUACGACCCCCUGGUAGGUCAGGGGGUGGAAAGAUUUUAUCGGUGUGGGAUGAGCCUGCGGCCUAUCAGCUUGUUGGUGGGGUAAUGGCCUACCAAGGCGUCGACGGGUAGCCGGCCUGAGAGGGUGAUCGGCCACAUUGGGACUGAGACACGGCCCAGACUCCUACGGGAGGCAGCAGUGGGGAAUAUUGCACAAUGGGCGCAAGCCUGAUGCAGCGACGCCGCGUGGGGGAUGACGGCCUUCGGGUUGUAAACUCCUUUCGACAGGGACGAAGCUAACGUGACGGUACCUGUAGAAGAAGCACCGGCUAACUACGUGCCAGCAGCCGCGGUAAUACGUAGGGUGCGAGCGUUGUCCGGAAUUACUGGGCGUAAAGAGCUCGUAGGUGGUUUGUCGCGUCGUCUGUGAAAUCCCGGGGCUUAACCUCGGGCGUGCAGGCGAUACGGGCAUAACUUGAGUGCUGUAGGGGAGACUGGAAUUCCUGGUGUAGCGGUGAAAUGCGCAGAUAUCAGGAGGAACACCAAUGGCGAAGGCAGGUCUCUGGGCAGUAACUGACGCUGAGGAGCGAAAGCAUGGGUAGCGAACAGGAUUAGAUACCCUGGUAGUCCAUGCCGUAAACGGUGGGCGCUAGGUGUAGGGGACUUCCACGUCUUCUGUGCCGCAGCUAACGCAUUAAGCGCCCCGCCUGGGGAGUACGGCCGCAAGGCUAAAACUCAAAGGAAUUGACGGGG
rnacentral:rRNA from 1 species